GGGCCUGUAACUCAGUUGGUAGAGUUCUCGACUUUUAAUCGAGAUGUCGCGGGUUCGAGCCCCGCCGGGCCCA
rnacentral:tRNA from 1 species